rnacentral:rRNA from 1 species
UACGUAGGGUGCGAGCGUUAAUCGGAAUUACUGGGCGUAAAGCGCACGUAGGCGGCUUGGUAUGUCGGGUGUGAAAUCCCCGGGCUCAACCUGGGAACUGCAUCCGAAACUGCCUUGCUCGAGUAUGGGAGAGGGAAGUGGAAUUUCCGGUGUAGCGGUGAAAUGCGUAGAUAUCUGGAGGAACACCGGUGGCGAAGGCGGCAUCCUGGACCGAGAUUGACGCUGAGGCGCGAAAGCCAGGGGAGCAAACGGG